AUCACUUAUAAGGUGUCAGGAUUAAGAGUGCGUGGUGGGGAGAGAAGGCGAGGCAGAGGUCGAGGAUCCUCUAGGUGCACAGAGUCGUCACUCCUCACAGAUGAUCAAACUAAUAUCAGCAAGGAGGUUGUCACAGUCAAAGAGGAGCCAAAAAUUUCUGAUGACAGUGAUGAAUUAGACACACAAAAAUCUACUCAAGUAGAUGUAUUAUUGAAGUAUAAAGAAAUUGGAGAGAGAACUUUGAAACAAGAUAAGCUUAAAGUUGAAAAAAAGAAAGGGAAAGUAUUGCCAGAGGAUAUUAUAGUAUCAGGAAGGCGUCACACAAAAAAAGUAGACUACAGGCAUUUUGCAGAGUAUGGCCAUGGAACUGACAUCAAGUUGGAGGA